GAUGAACGCUGGCGGCGUGCCUAAUACAUGCAAGUCGAGCGAACAGGUGAGAAGCUUGCUUCUCUGAUGUUAGCGGCGGACGGGUGAGUAACACGUGGGUAACCUACCUAUAAGACUGGGAUAACUCCGGGAAACUGGGGCUAAUAGCGGAUAAUAGAUUGAACCGCGUGGGUCAAUAGUGAAAGACGGGUGUGCUGUCACUUAUAGAUGGAUACGCGCCGAAUUAGCUAGUUGGUAAGGUAACGGCUUACCAAGGCAACGAGGCGUAGCCGACCUGAGAGGGUGAUCGGCCACACUGGAACUGAGACACGGUCCAGACUCCUACGGGAGGCAGCAGUAGGGAAUCUUCCGCAAUGGGCGAAAGCCUGACGGAGCAACGCCGCGUGAGUGAUGAAGGUCUUCGGAUCGUAAAACUCUGUUAUUAGGGAAGAACAAAUGUGUAAGUAACUAUGCACGUCUUGACGGUACCUAAUCAGAAAGCCACGGCUAACUACGUGCCAGCCGCCGCGGUAA
rnacentral:rRNA from 1 species